UUUUAUUUCAUUUUAAAUUAAAUAAUUAUCGAAUACACCUUUGUAUAUACAUAUAAUCAUUGCUCCAUUUUUUAUUUAAAAUAAAACUGUGAAAAUCAAGAAAAAUAGGAUAAGAAGGUAUAAAAAGUAACAUAUGAAGAAUUUUGUCCUUUGAUGCAGCGAACAAAAACAACCAAACUAUUGCUUUGAAACUCACCGGUUUAUGGGCUCUGUUUUAGGCUUUUAGCCAAUGCCAGGUCAACUCUAGCCAAUAGUCAGAAGUGCGAGCAUCAGCAUCA
rnacentral:misc_RNA from 1 species